UGGAAAUAUCAUGGUGUAAUGUUGCAGGCAUCUUCAUACCGCCGAAUUGCAAAGACAAUCCGUUCUUCGCGGACUGCCACCUGAUUGUACGCAGCAAGUUCUGCGGACACCCGUAUUAUUCUAAGUUCUGCUGCAAGUCGUGUGUGGAAGCAGGUCAGCUGUUGCCGCAAGAUCUCGAUCUACAAUCGGACGAGGCUUGGAAGAAAUAAUUACCCUCUAAUAGAGCAGUGCUCGCGUUAGCUCCGUCGAGGGUACCGAACAACUUAACGUGUUUAGGUGAUAAGUCUAGUAAUCUUUCAACUGUUUUAAAAAAAUAUAGAUUUAUGGAAUUUGUUUCUGAAAUAUAAAAUUAAGAUUGUUUUAUAUAAAAUUUAAAAUUGGUACUUAAUAUUUUUUCACUGAAUUUAUAUUGACCCUCGAUAGGACAAUUUAGACAAAUAAAUAAUAAUAUCGAAGUGCCAUAAUAGCUGUUGUUCAAACAUUAAUAGGUCCCUAUAUUUUUUUGCUAUAACCUACAGGUGUAUAACUAAUAUUUGUUUUUAUAAUUUUUUUUUUGUUUACACAAAUGUUACAGUAGAACCGACUAGAUAGUUGGGAUAUGUGGCUAUUUCCAAUGUUCUCACUGUGUUAAACAUACCAAUAGAUACUGUAGAUAGGUAUACUGAAAUAUGAUUACUAUGUAAAUAUAUAAGAGUGUCACAAAUAGAACCAUCUGUGAUGGGCCAUAAAAUAUGUAAGAAUCGCUAUGUUCUAGUUAGUCACUGAAAAUAUAAAUAGAUAAUAAAUUAUUUAUACCAUACGAUAGAGGCAAUGUUUAGUGAACGUUAGUAUUUCUAGAUGUAAGCUAGAUAGAGUCGGCGUUGAAUUUUAUAACGAAGUCAUAAUAAUUGUUUAAGUGGUUUUUUUUAUGACGUGUAAAUAGACCAACAAUAAAAUGCCGUAAUUUGA
rnacentral:lncRNA from 1 species